ACGUUUAGCUCAGUUGGUUAGAGCACCUGCCUUACAAGCAGGGGGUCACAAGUUCGAGUCUUGUAACGUCC
rnacentral:tRNA from 1 species